rnacentral:misc_RNA from 1 species
GAUGAAGAACGCAGCGAAAUGCGAUAAGUAAUGUGAAUUGCAGAAUUCAGUGAAUCAUCGAGUCUUUGAACGCACAUUGCGCCCUCUGGUAUUCCGGGGGGCAUGCCUGUCCGAGCGUCAUUGCUGCCCUCAAGCACGGCUUGUGUGUUGGGCCCCGCCCCCCGGCUCCCGGGGGGCGGGCCCGAAAGGCAGCGGCGGCACCGCGUCCGGUCCUCGAGCGUAUGGGGCUUCGUCACCCGCUCCGUAGGCCCGGCCGGCGCCCGCCGGCGACCCCCCUCAAUCUUUUCAGGUUGACCUCGGAUCAGGUAGGGAUACCCGCUGAACUUAAGCAUAUCAAUAAGCGGAGGA